CGCCAAUAAAGUAAUAUAAUAUUUUGUCGAUGAGCUAUCGUGUGUCUUGUAGGUGUAUCGCUUGUCCGUUUUUUGGGCCUAUGAAUGUUGAAAGGUGGGAAAAACCGAAAAUUAUCGAAUAUUCUUCGUUUUCGCAAACGAUUGUUACCGCGAUUAAAAAACACUAGGUAUAAAUACGUGAAAAAAAACGUCGAAUGCGUUCACCUUCGAAUAUAAAAAAAUAGAAGAAAGAGACUGACAUACUUUGCGUGAUAUGUGGGCGAUUGUUGAAGGUGACGAGUAGGUGGUAAGGUAGAGUGAAAAUUGAAUAUGUAUAUCUGUACGUAACGAUUAACCGUUGCUACCGAAAAUCGAUUCUGAUCGGAGUUCGGUUAUUUAUAGCGUGC